rnacentral:tRNA from 1 species
GCCGGGCUGGCGGAAUUGGUAGACGCCCCUGCCUCAAAAGCAGGUCGCCGCAAGGCAUGAAGGUUCGAGCCCUUCGCCCGGCACCA